rnacentral:tRNA from 1 species
GAAGGUAUAGCUCAAGUGAUAGAGCCAUUACUUAGCAUGCAUGAGUUCCUGGGUUCAAUCCCCAGUACCUCCU